CCUCCUUUUUUCCGCCGUCGGGAAUAUUGCUCAAUGGGGGAAACCCUGAAGCAGCAACGCCGCGUGGAGGAUGAAGGUUUUCGGAUUGUAAACUCCUUUUGUUAGAGAAGAUAAUGACGGUAUCUAACGAAUAAGCACCGUUUAACUCCGUGCCAGCAGCCGCGGUAAUACGGAGGGUGCAAGCGUUACUCGGAAUCACUGGGCGUAAAGAGCGCGUAGGCGGGAUAGCAAGUCAGAUGUGAAAUCAUAUGGCUUAACCAUAGAACUGCAUUUGAAACUGUUAUUCUAGAGUAUGUGAGAGGUAGGUGGAAUUCUUGGUGUAGGGGUAAAAUCCGUAGAGAUCAAGAGGAAUACUCAUUGCGAAGGCGACCUGCUAGAACAUAACUGACGCUGAUGCGCGAAAGCGUGGGGAGCAAACAGGAUUAGAUACCCCAGUAGUC
rnacentral:rRNA from 1 species